CCUACGGGAGGCAGCAGUGGGGGAUAUUGCACAAUGGGGGAAACCCUGAUGCAGCGACGCCGCGUGUGGGAAGACGGUCCUCUGGAUUGUAAACCACUGUCCCCAGGGACGAAGUUGACGGUACCUGGGGAGGAUGCUCCGGCUAACAACGUGCCAGCAGCCGUGGUACUACGUAGGGAGCGACCGUUGUCCGGAAUUACUGGGGGUCAAAGGCGCGUAUGGGGGGAUGCAAGUUGGGUGUCAAAACUACCGGGUCAAAUGGUAGUCGCACUCAAAACUGCAGCUCUUGAGUGAAGUAGAGGCAGGCGGAAUUCCUAGUGUAGCGGUGAAAUGCGUAGAUAUUAGGAGGAACACCAGUGGCGAAGGCGGCCUGCUGGGCUUUUACUGACGCUGAGGCUCGAAAGUGUGGGGAGCAAACAGGAGUAGAUACCCGAGUAGUC
rnacentral:rRNA from 1 species